AUGCCAAAUGACUACAAGAAGGCUAAAGAGGAAUAUGAGGGAAAUUACAAGAAGGUGUACGAUUACGUGAGGUACGAUCUGAAAGAGAUCGCCUUCCCGUCUUCUCUGCCAGACCCUCCGGGCACCAAGAGGCGCCCUAAGCUAACACUGAAAGAAAAAUGGUGUUUCCUCAAGGAGGCAACUAGGCUCUAUGGGGCUUCCUGGGUUAGGGACAUCGGUCCCGAGCUCAGGCCCAACGAUUACAAGAAGGCCAAAGAGGAAUCAUACCCCAGCAACAGUGAGGAGGGGAAAACUAAAAGUGAGCCUACUGUGCUUGAGGAUCUCGCGGUGGCAGCGAGGGGUGGGGGCGAGACUUUGAAGCCAGCGCUGCGGCGCAUAUACAUGACACGCGCCUCAACCUACACAAGUGCAGGAAGGGCUGAAGGAUUUGUUGGACGAGAAGGCUGCUGGGAAGGGUCACCAGCCAGGCAAUGA
rnacentral:rRNA from 1 species